AGAAAUGAGAGCCCCAAGUGUAUAAGACCACAAUGCUCUGGCCCUGAUCUAAACUUCUCUUUCCCCUUUUCCUAUGUAGGUUUGGAAGGCAUGUGAUGUACAGGCUGAGAGUUAUACGACAUAAGAACUCCAGUGAAGUGCUGAUCGGUGGCUGCAGCGUUUUGCACUGAAGGAAGCAGUGCUCAAUUGUUAGGAUUAUUUUAACUAGGUUAAAAAAAUAUAUACAUAGGACUGCAUCCCAAGACAGCACUUACAAGACAGCACGAAGGAGUGUUAGCUUGCAACAUCUAUUUCUUUGCUUGGCUGUCCCUGCUUUGGAAGACCCUGCUUUCCAGGAUGGAAUUAUUGGUACUGAGUCAUGUAUAUGAAGAUAUUAUAGCAGUGGUCAGAACCUUGGAGACAAACCUUCAUUUCCAUCCGUAGUGGGACUGUUGGAGUGUUUGCAAAACGUUUUACUGCAGCUGUGAGAAGCAAAAUGGAAGCGUAUCUGUUGUCCAGAAGGGCACUCACUGUCUGUUGUUUAGGAAACCCAUCCUAAACUUGGAGGUAGUAGGGGCUCAUCAUGAAAACUCCAUGAACUCAGACAGCAGAGCUGAGCCGAGCAGAGCCGAACCGAGCGGAGCUCUCCUUGUACACUACUAGGUGGUGGUGAGCUGAUUUAUAUUCUUUUUGGUAAGGGCACAUUAGAGUAAUAGCAAAGUGGAUGG
ensembl:lncRNA